rnacentral:rRNA from 1 species
CCCUUAGAUGUUCUGGGCCGCACGCGUGCUACACUGAGUGGAUCAGCGGGUCAGGUUGCGCGAAAGUGUUUCCUAAUCUUGAAAUCCGCUCGUGAUGGGGAUUGACGGUUGCAAUUUUCCGUCAUGAACGAGGAAUACCUUGUAAGCGCGGGUCAUCAUCCCGCGCUGAAUACGUCCCUGCCCUUUGUACACACCGCCCGUCGCACCUACCGAUUGAAUGGUCCGGUGAAGCCUCCGGAUUGGCGCGCACCUCGGUGCCGCCGAGAAGUUGGCUAAACCUUACCAUUUAGAGGAAGGUGAAGUCGUAACA